AACGAACGCUGGCGGCAUGCCUAACACAUGCAAGUCGAACGAGACCUUCGGGUCUAGUGGCGCACGGGUGCGUAACGCGUGGGAAUCUGCCCUUGGGUUCGGAAUAACAGUUAGAAAUGACUGCUAAAUACCGGAUAAUGUCUUCGGACCAAAGAUUUAUCGCCCAGGGAUGAGCCCGCGUAGGAUUAGCUAGUUGGUGAGGUAAAGGCUCACCAAGGCGACGAUCCUUAGCUGGUCUGAGAGGAUGAUCAGCCACACUGGGACUGAGACACGGCCCAGACUCCUACGGGAGGCAGCAGUGGGGAAUAUUGGACAAUGGGCGAAAGCCUGAUCCAGCAAUGCCGCGUGAGUGAUGAAGGCCUUAGGGUUGUAAACUGCUUUUGAUAGGGAACAAAUGCCACUUGCGAGUGGAGCUGAGUGUACCUAUAGAAUAAGCACCGGCUAACUCCGUGCCAGCAGCCGCGGUAA
rnacentral:rRNA from 1 species